rnacentral:rRNA from 1 species
AUGAACGCUGGCGGCGUGCCUAAUACUUGCAAGUCGCGCGAACGGACGAGAAGCUUGCUUCUCUGAUGUUAGCGGCGGACGGGUGAGUAACACGUGGAUAACCUACCUAUAAGACUGGGAUAACUUCGGGAAACCGGAGCUAAUACCGGAUAAUAUUUUGAACCGCAUGGUUCAAAAGUGAAAGACGGUCUUGCUGUCACUUAUAGAUGGAUCCGCGCUGCAUUAGCUAGUUGGUAAGGUAACGGCUUACCAAGGCAACGAUGCAUAGCCGACCUGAGAGGGUGAAGGGCGACACAGGAACUGAGAGACGGUACAGAGACCGAGGGGAGGCAGAAGCAGCGAAGCGUCCGAAAUGGGCGAAAGACUGAAGGAGCAACGCAGCGUGAGUGAAGAAGGUCUGCGGAUCGUAUAACUGUGUUAUUAGGGAAGAACAUAUGUGUAAGUAACUGAGCACAUCGUGACGGUACCUAAACAGAAAGCAACGGCUAACUACGUG